UACGAAGGGGGCUAGCGUUGCUCGGAAUCACUGGGCGUAAAGGGUGCGUAGGCGGGUUUUUAAGUCAGGGGUGAAAUCCCGGAGCUCAACUCCGGAACUGCCUUUGAUACUCCCGCGCUUGAGAACUGGAGGGGAGACCGGAAUUCACGGUGGAGCAGUGAAAUGCGUGGAUAUCGUGAGGAACACUAGUGGCGAAGGCGGGUCUCUGGACAGUAUCUGACGCUGAGGCACGAAGGCCAGGGGAGCGAACGGG
rnacentral:rRNA from 1 species